CGGGCGGUGUGUGCAAGAGGGGAGAGUGGAAUUCCAUGUGUAGCGGUGAAAUGCGUAGAUAUAUGGAGGAACACCGGUGGCGAAAGCGGCUCUCUGGCUUGUAACUGACGCUGAGGCUCGAAAGCGUGGGGAGCAAACAGGAUUAGAUACCCUGGUAGUCCAUGCCGUAAACGUUGGGCACUAGGUGUGGGGAGCAUUCCACGUUUUCCGCGCCGUAGCUAACGCAUUAAGUGCCCCGCCUGGGGAGUACGGCCGCAAGGCUAAAACUCAAAGGAAUUGACGGGGGCCCGCACAAGCGGCGGAGCAUGCGGAUUAAUUCGAUGCAACGCGAAGAACCUUACCAAGGCUUGACAUGCACUGGAUCGCUGCAGAGAUGUGGUUUUCUUUGGACUGGUGCACAGGUGGUGCAUGGUUGUCGUCAGCUCGUGUCGUGAGAUGUUGGGUUAAGUCCCGCAACGAGCGCAACCCUUGUCUUAUGUUGCCAGCAUUUGGUUGGGGACUCAUGAGAGACUGCCGGGGUUAACUCGGAGGAAGGUGGGGAUGACGUCAAAUCAUCAUGCCCCUUAUGUCCAGGGCUUCACACAUGCUACAAUGGUCGGUACAACGCGUGGCGAUACUGUGAGGUGGAGCUAAUCGCUUGAAAGCCGGUCGUAGUUCGGAUUGGGGUCUGCAACUCGACCCCAUGAAGUCGGAGUCGCUAGUAAUCGCAGAUCAGCAAUGCUGCGGUGAAUACGUUCCCGGGCCUUGCACACACCGCCCGA
rnacentral:rRNA from 1 species